rnacentral:rRNA from 1 species
CUGCAGCUCAAGUGGUAGCCGCUAUUAUUGGGCCUAAAACGUUCGUAGCCGGUUUAGUAAAUGCUUGGGUAAAUUGUGUCGCUUAACGAUACGAAUACCGGGUAGACUGCUAAACUUGGGACCGGGAGAGGUUAGAGGUACUCCUGGGGUAGAGGUGAAAUUCUGUAAUCCUGGGGGGACCACCAGUGGCGAAGGCGUCUAACCAGAACGGGUCUGACGGUGAGGGACGAAGCCCUGGGGCGCAAACCGGAUUAGAUACCCGAGUAGUCC